CCUACGGGUGGCAGCAGUGGGGAAUAUUGGGCAAUGGGCGAAAGCCUGACCCAGCAACGCCGCGUGAAGGAAGAAGGCUUUCGGGUUGUAAACUUCUUUUGACAGGGAAGAGCAGAAGACGGUACCUGUCGAAUAAGCCACGGCUAACUACGUGACAGCAGCCGCGGGAAUACGUAGGUGGCAAGCGUUGCCCGGAUUUACUGGGUGUAAAGGGAGCGUAGACGGCAGUGCAAGUCUGGAGUGAAAGGCGGGGGCUCAACCCCCGGACUGCACUGGAAACUGUACGGCUUGAGUGCAGGAGAGGUAAGUGGAAUUCCUGGUGUAGCGGUGAAAUGCGUAGAUAUUAGGAGGAACACCAGUGGCGAAGGCAGCUUACUGGACUGUAACUGACGUUGAGGCUCGAAAGCGUGGGGAGCAAACAGGAUUAGAUACCCUAGUAGUC
rnacentral:rRNA from 1 species